rnacentral:rRNA from 1 species
UCCAGACUCCUACGGGAGGCAGCAGUAGGGAAUUUUGCGCAAUGGGCGAAAGCCUGACGCAGCAACACCGCGUGAAUGUUAAGCCCUUCGGGGUGUAAAGUUCUGUCAAUAGGGACGAAUUUUGACUGUACCUAUAAAGGAAGCACCGGCUAACUCCGUGCCAGCAGCCGCGGUAAUACGGGGGGUGCAAGCGUUGUCCGGAAUUACUGGGUGUAAAGGGAGCGUAGGCGGGAAGCCAAGUCAGCUGUGAAAACUACGGGCUUAACCUGUAGACUGCAGUUGAAACUGGCUUUCUUGAGUGAAGUAGAGGUUGGCGGAAUUCCGAGUGUAGCGGUGAAAUGCGUAGAUAUUCGGAGGAACACCGGUGGCGAAGGCGGCCAACUGGGCUUUAACUGACGCUGAGGCUCGAAAGUGUGGGGAGCAAACAGGAUUAGAUACCCUAGUAAU